UUUAUUUGUGGGGGGGGGGGGAAGAAAAAAUUUUUUUUUUUGGGGGGNNANNNNAAAAACAAAAAUAAUCCCCCCCCCCGGGGGGGGGGUGUCUUCCCCCAAAAAAAUUUUCCCCAAGAAAUUUUUGGGGGGGGCCCCCCCAACAAGGGGGGGGGAGAAGUGGGUUUAUUUAAAGAAACCGCCGAAAAGCCCCUUUCGGUGGUUUUAAACUCCCGGAGGGGAAGGGACCCAAAGUCCUUUUCCCUUGGGGGCAUGGANGACAGGUGGUGCAUGGUUGUCGUCAGCUCGUGUCGUGAGAUGUUGGGUUAAGUCCCGCAACGAGCGCAACCCCUAUUUCCAGUANGCCAGCAAGAAAGAUGGGAACUCUGGAGAGACUGCCCGGGAUAACUGGGAGGAAGGCGGGGAUGACGUCAAAUCAUCAUGCCCCUUAUGAUCAGGGCUACACACGUGCUACAAUGGCGUAAACAAAGGGAAGCGAAGUGGUGACACGAAGCAAAUCCGAAAAACAACGUCUCAGUUCGGAUUGUAGUCUGCAACUCGACUACAUGAAGCUGGAAUCGCUAGUAAUCGCGAAUCAGAAUGUCGCGGUGAAUACGUUCCCGGGUCUUGUACACACCGCCCGUCACACCAUGGGAGUCGGAAAUGCCCGAAGUCAGUGACCCAACCGAGAGGAGGGAGCUGCCGAAGGUGGAGCCGGUAACUGGGGUGAAGUCGUAACAAGG
rnacentral:rRNA from 1 species